GUCAUAUGCUUGUCUCAAAGAUUAAGCCAUGCAUGUCUCAGUACAAGCCAAAUUAAGGUGAAACCGCGAAAGGCUCAUUAAAUCAGUUAUGGUUCCUUAGAUCGUACCCACAAUUACUUGGAUAACUGUGGUAAUUCUAGAGCUAAUACAUGCAAACAGAGCUCCGACCGGAGACGGGAGGAGUGCUUUUAUUAGAUCAAAACCAAUCGGUGGCGGGUUCGCUCGUCAUCGUACAACUUGGUGACUCUGAAUAACUUUACGCUGAUCGCACGGUCAUCGCACCGGCGACGCAUCUUUCAAAUGUCUGCCUUAUCAACUGUCGAUGGUAGGUUCUGCGCCUACCAUGGUUGUAACGGGUAACGGGGAAUCAGGGUUCGAUUCCGGAGAGGGAGCCUGAGAAACGGCUACCACAUCCAAGGAAGGCAGCAGGCGCGCAAAUUACCCACUCCCGGCACGGGGAGGUAGUGACGAAAAAUAACGAUACGGGACUCAUCCGAGGCCCCGUAAUCGGAAUGAGUACACUCUAAACCCUUUAACGAGGAUCAAUUGGAGGGCAAGUCUGGUGCCAGCAGCCGCGGUAAUUCCAGCUCCAAUAGCGUAUAUUAAAGUUGUUGCGGUUAAAAAGCUCGUAGUCGAAUUUGUGUCCCGCGCCGCCGGUUCAUCGUCCGCGGUGUUAACUGGCGAGUCGCGGGACGUCCUGCCGGUGGGCUUAGCUCGCGAGGGCGGCCCAACUCAAUCCUGCCGCGGUGCUCUUCAUUGAGUGUCGAGGUGGGCCGGCACGUUUACUUUGAACAAAUUAGAGUGCUUAAAGCAGGCUAAAACUUCGCCUGAAUACUGUGUGCAUGGAAUAAUGGAAUAGGACCUCGGUUCUAUUUUGUUGGUUUUCGGAACCCCGAGGUAAUGAUUAAUAGGAACGGAUGGGGGCAUUCGUAUUGCGACGUUAGAGGUGAAAUUCUUGGAUCGUCGC
rnacentral:rRNA from 1 species